rnacentral:rRNA from 18 species
ACUGGGGGAUAGCCCGGGGAAACUCGGAUUAAUACCCCAUAGUAUCCAAUAUUGGCAUCGAUGAUGGAUUAAAGAUUUAUUGGUAAUGGAUGGGCAUGCGUCUGAUUAGUUAGUUGGUGAGGUAACGGCUCACCAAGACGAUGAUCAGUAGGGGGUCUGAGAGGAUGAUCCCCCACACUGGGACUGAGACACGGCCCAGACUCCUACGGG